AUUGAACGCUGGCGGCAUGCCUUACACAUGCAAGUCGAACGACGUUACGGGGGCAACUCUGUAGCGAGUGGCGAACGGGUGAGUAAUGCAUCGGAACGUGCCCUCUUGUGGGGGAUAACCAGUCGAAGAUUGGCUAAUACCGCAUGAGCUCGAGAGAGGAAAGCGGGGGAUCCGCAAGGACCUCGCGCGAGAGGAGCGGCCGAUGCCCGAUUAGCUAGUUGGGGGGUAAAAGCCACCAAGGCGACGAUCGGUAGCUGGUCUGAGAGGACGGACCAGCCACACUGGGACUGAGACACGGCCCAGACUCCUACGGGAGGCAGCAGUGGGGAAUUUUUGGACAAUGGGGGCAACCCUGAUCCAGCCAUGCCGCGUGUGUGAAGAAGGCCU
rnacentral:rRNA from 1 species